rnacentral:tRNA from 2 species
GGAGGAAUACCCAAGUCUGGCUGAAGGGAUCGGUCUUGAAAACCGACAAGGGUGUCAAAGCCCGCGGGGGUUCGAAUCCCUCUUCCUCCGCCA